rnacentral:rRNA from 1 species
GAUGAACGCUGGCGGCGUGCCUAAUACAUGCAAGUCGAGCGAACAGACGAGGAGCUUGCUCCUCUGACGUUAGCGGCGGACGGGUGAGUAACACGUGGAUAACCUACCUAUAAGACUGGGAUAACUUCGGGAAACCGGAGCUAAUACCGGAUAAUAUAUUGAACCGCAUGGUUCAAUAGUGAAAGACGGUUUUGCUGUCACUUAUCGAUGGAUCCGCGCCGCAUUAGCUAGUUGGUAAGGUAACGGCUUACCAAGGCAACGAUGCGUAGCCGACCUGAUAGGGUGAUCGGCCACCCUGGAACUGAGACACGGUCCAGACUCCUACGGGAGGCAGCAGUAGGGAAUCUUCCGCAAUGGGCGAAAGCCUGACGGAGCAACGCCGCGUGAGUGAUGAAGGUCUUCGGAUCGUAAAACUCUGUUAUUAGGGAAGAACAAAUGUGUAAGUAACUAUGCACGUCUUGACGGUACCUAAUCAGAAAGCCACGGCUAACUACGUG